rnacentral:lncRNA from 1 species
CGACUCCUGGAUCAUAUCAAUCUGCCUCUAUUCUUACUGACAUAACCAGUAGAAUGGCUGAAAAUUUGAACAGAAAUCAGUCCCAACCUCGACUAUUGAAACUUUUGUUGCACUUAUAGGCAUCAAGUUGGACGGCACCAACUAUGCACUUUGGUCCCAAGUUGUCAAGAUAUGUAUCUCCGACAAAGACAAGCUGUGAUAUAUCAACGACGACUUUCCUCCACCAUCUGAAACAGACUCUGCAAAUGGCGUACUGAUAAUGCCAUUGUGAAAGGUUGGCUCAUAAACUCCAUGGAUCCAUCGCUUAUCUGUAAUUUCAUCAGAUUUCCUAUGGCAAAACUUGUCCACCUU